CCUACGGGAGGCAGCAGUGAGGAAUAUUGGUCAAUGGGCGCGAGCCUGAACCAGCCAAGUAGCGUGAAGGAUGACUGCCCUACGGUUUGUAAACUUCUUUUAUAAAGGAAUAAAGUGAGGCACGUGUGCCUUUUUGUAUGUACUUUAUGAUUAAGGCUAGGCUAACUCAGUGCCAGCAGCCGCGUUAAUCCGGAGGAUCCGAGCGUUAUCCGGAUUAAUUGGGUUUAAAGGAAGCGUAGAUGGUUUGUUAAGUCAGAAGUGAAAGUUUGCGUCUCAACCGUAAAAUUGCAAUUGAUACUGGCAGUCUUGAGUACAGUUGAGGUAGGCGGAAUUCGUGGUGUAGCGGUGAAAUGCGUAGAUAUCACGAAGAACUCCGAUUGCGAAGGCAGCUUACUAAACUGCCACUGACACUGAGGCUCGAAAGUGUGGGUAUCAAACAGGAUUAGAUACCCCUGUAGUC
rnacentral:rRNA from 1 species